GAUAUUAAAGUUUAAUAUAUAUUUAUAUAUAAUUAUUGACCGUUUAAUUUUUUUUAGAGUGAAUUUUUUUCAUUAAGGACAACAAAUUAAUAUGAACAUGGAAUUUAAAAUGCAACAAUAAUUUUUUUUAGUUUUAAACUUGUCGUUAUGUACUGUGGGUCAUUUUAAACGCAUGGAUUUCCAGUCCAGAAGCAAAGCAACAGAACAACUGUGCUGUGGAGAGAGUGGAAAAGUUGGUAGAUUUGGUCACAAUGCCGGUAAGGUUACAGAAAGGCUGGUCUCCACAGCAGUUGCUUCAUAUGCUCUCUAAUACACAAGCAAGGAAUAAAGAUGGCUGGAAGAAGAAGAAUCCUUUGGUUUCAUCCAGCACGGUAAUUAUUAUAAGUUUUGUGAUUUAGUUUAAUAAGCUGGAUGUAAAUCACCAAAUGUAUGUAAUGUAUCCCUAAAGCAUUUUUUUGUGAUUUUUUAUUGUUUGAAAUUAAUACAUAGAAUUUGUUUUGCUUACUGUAGCUGUAGGUUAAGCCAUAUAGGCGUGUGUGCUAGUCUUUAGCAUUGAUAAUGUUAUUCAGCUACUUUAAUACAGCUUUGAAAUACAGAAAAUGCAUUUUACUGUAGGUGUAAAAUAAUACACUACUGUAGCCUGAACCUAAAUAUUCUGUUUUUGCAACCAAAUUUUGUUUCUUUUUUUGUACAAUCUUUUUUUUUACAAAUUGAAUAAUAGCAUAUUCAAAUCUAUACUCGGUAAAAGCAGUUGAGGUUAAAACAGAUAGGAAUUUAAACGGCCGACUUUGUUUAUUUGGCGUCCUAUCUGUUUGCUCACAGACUGCUUGGGUUGCUAGUUGUUUGUUUUUCUUGGGAGUAAAAAAAAUAGAGUUCAGGUAGAUGCAGAGAUAAUUGCCUCUAUAAAACUGUGCUGUUCUUAUUGAAGUGGUUUUAAUAUACUUAGUUCAAUGUGAAUGAGGUCCUUUAAAUCUAGUUAUAUUUAAAUUCAAUUGCUAUACUUUAUGUUUCAUAACAUUUCAUUGUACUUGUUUCAAAUAAGCCUACAAUGCUAUGACAUACACAUGCUGACAGUUGAUGUAUUCAUAACAGGAUGGGGGGGGUUUUUCUUAUUUAUUCUUAUUUAUAAUUUGAAAUGUUGUUGCAUUUCUUCUUUCUUCAUGUACCUUAUGCUAUAAAGCUUUGGCAAAAAUGAAAUGUUACUGGUUUAAUGGUUUGCCAAUUUCUUCUUCAAAUUUGCCACAAAUGAAAUGUAUAUAUAAUGAUUGAUUGAAACU